UACGUAGGGGGCAAGCGUUGUCCGGAAUCAUUGGGCGUAAAGCGCGUGUAGGCGGCUCGGUAAGUCCGCUCUGAAAGCCCGGGGCUCAACUCCGGGCCUGCAGCCGAUACGGGCAGACUAGAGUUCGGCAGGGGAGACUGGAAUUCCUGGUGUAGCGGUGAAAUGCGCAGAUAUCAGGAGGAACACCGGUGGCGAAGGCGGGUCUCUGGGCCGAUACUGACGCUGAGGAGCGAAAGCGUGGGGAGCGAACAGG
rnacentral:rRNA from 1 species